AACGAACGCUGGCGGCGUGGAUUAGGCAUGCAAGUCGUACGCGAAAGAGGGGGCAACCCUUGAGUAGAGUGGCGAACGGGUGAGUAACGCGUGAGGAACCUGCCUUCGACAGGGGGAUAACACUCCCAACGGGGUGCUAAUACCGCAUGAGACCACGGGGCUGCAUGGCCCUGAGGUCAAAGAUGGCCUCUAUUUAUAAGCUAUCGGUCGAAGAUGGCCUCGCGUCCCAUUAGCUAGUUGGCGGUGUAAAAGACCACCAAGGCGACGAUGGGUAGCUGGUCUGAGAGGAUGGUCAGCCACACUGGGACUGAGAUACGGCCCAGACUCCUACGGGAGGCAGCAGUCGAGAGGCUUCGGCAAUGGGGGAAACCCUGACCGAGCGACGCCGCGUGAGGGAUGAAGGCCCUUGGGUUGUAAACCUCUUUUGUUCGGGAAGAAGUGCGAUCAGGUGAAUAAUCUGGUCGUUUGACGGUACCGGACGAAUAAGCUCCGGCUAACUCCGUGCCAG
rnacentral:rRNA from 1 species